AUGGUCAAAUCUUGGUGGGAUGCGCUACUCACUAACAAUGGUCAACCCACGAAAGCUCUAUCUUCCCUUCUCCUUCUUGUGGGAUGGGAACUUUGGAAGGAAAGGAAUGUGCGCGUCUUUAGGAACAAGGCAGCGCCGCUGGCGAUCAUCACGCAAUGCAUCAAAGAAGAAGUGUCCAUUUGGGCCAUUGCGGGCGCCAAACAUUUGUGUAAUGUAAUGCGGCGAGAGUAA
rnacentral:rRNA from 1 species